GAAGAUUGUUUAACAAGUGCGAAGAGAAAAGGGGAUAAAAGUUGUUUUCACAAACAAAGCAAUCAUAUUAUUGAAGUCUCAGUUGAAACGCCGGUAGAAGAUUGUUUAACAAGUGCGAAGGGAAAAGGGGAUUAAAGUUGUUUUCACAAACGAAGCAAUCAUAUUGUUGAAGUCUCGGUUGACAAAAUGGCAUGCAGCUCAAAGACACCCUCGAGAAGUAGAGAUGACGGUUUCAGGCAACUGUUGCCAUGGUUGAACGGGGGAAGGUCAUAUUUACAAGCAAAACAGCAAGACUUUCGAACAGUAAUCUUUCCAGGAAUGCUGGGCGAACAAAAUAAAGCUGCCGUCGAGCACACAAGUGCCGAAUUGGUUGCAAUGGCGAAACAAGCUUUGUCUAGAGCGGAGCUAGAUAUUGCUGAAAAACACUGUUCUCAAGCCGUACGAAAGCAAAUACUAGAGAACAGGUCGACUGAGGUGAGCUGGCAGCCACAUUUCUGCCUAGGGGAAGUCUUGGAGACGAAAGCAGCGAAAAUUACUGGGAAUUCUUUAGAAAAGCAGAGACUUCUUCUUCAAGCAGGGGCGCUGUACAACUUCGUGAAGA